AACAUGUAUUAUUUUGUGUUCCUCUAACACACACACACACACACACACACACACACACCUGUAAGAAAGGAAAAACAUGUAUUAUUUUGUGUUCCUCUAACAGGCACAGGGCAGCUUAGAAGAACAGUUUGGUAAGAGAGGCAGGCUAAGUCUUGUGCCUUUGGCUCCACCCUUCUUCCCUACCAGGGGCACAAGCUUGGAAGCUGACACCUGGCUCUCCACCUCAGCACCCCACCCUCAUUAGCUAUUUGGUCUUCCAAAAGGAAAGGUCACCCUCUUUGAACCUCAGUCCCUCUAUCAAAUGGGGAUAACCAAUGACAACUCUUCCCUCACAGACUGCAUUACGGAUCAACGUGUCCGUGUGAGCCAUGUAGAGCAGUGCCUGGCACCUGGGCGGUACUCUCUGAGUUUUUCUUGUGUACCCCCAUACCCCAGAAAGCUGCAAUUUCUCAUUUUUCUCUAUCACCCAGCGGUCACACAUAUCUGUUUGCAACCUCAAUGUACACAUGAAAACCCAGCUGUCAUGUCUAAUGAGGAGACAUUACUCUGGGUCUAAUUCAAGCUACUGGAAAUGGUGAGGUGCGUCUUCAUGGGGAGUUACAGGGAUGCAGGGGUAUCUUUCUACAGGUGGAUGUUUCUUCUUCUCAAAGUUGACCUGAGAAGCUAAAACCCCCAGAAACCCCCAGAUUUAACAGCAAUGCACUCCAACACAGGCUUCGCUCCCAAAUGUGAAUUGCACACAGCCAUGCCCUGAAGUCAACAAGGACAACCCCCUGGGGGCAGCCUCUCUCUGCCUCUCCACAGCAACCCAUUAGCAAACAAGCACAUAUGUGCUCCACUAAAUAACACAGAAGCAAUUCAGCAUCCUUUUGUGCUAUCAGUCAAACACAAUCCGUCUUCAGGGAGAAAGUAGCACGCAGACAUCAGGGCCUGGGCACUGACUUGGCUCUCAGCUUAAGAGCAGGUCUGACACGGCAUCAUCCUUCCAAGGCCAUGAUGAAACACCGGAGAUUUCUAUGUGACCUUCAAAAAUAUUAGCAUUUCUUUUGUGGGGCUAGGGAGGGACUUCCAUGAGACACUGAAUAUAAAUACUUAGGAACCAUCCUUACACAACUCCUUGUCUCAGAGAUAGCCAUUAGAUAUUUUUUAAAGUGGGGGCAGGUUAUACAUCUUGAAAAUUGACUGGUAAAAUCAAUUUUGUUUGAAUGCAUAUAUUGUAAAAACAAAAGUGUAUUUGUGCAAAUGCUAAACCAGGGGCAAGAAUACUAAAAAAAUAAAAAAUAAAAAAAAAUAAUGUUUGAGUUGUUUUAUUACCACAAAAAAAGGAAACUAUAUCUGCUAGAAUCAAGCAUGCGCCUAAACCUGUUUGAGACAGUUUUCUUAUGUAUCUGAGGCUGGUGUUGACUUUACAAUCCUCCUGCCCCAGCCUCCUCAGUGCUGGGAUCACAAGUGCCUGCCUCUAACACCCACCCUAGUUUACCAGCUCACGAAUCCCCAUCCAGACUGAGCAUCCCACAUCUGACAACAUCCUUCCUAUGUCAGGCAGCCUGUCCUCUUCCCCUUCACAGGAAACUGGGAUCAACUUUCCAGUGUCUCUUCCACGGGCAUGCUUAAGGGUUUCCCAAGGUAAAGGAUCAAAGCCUUUCCGUGUCCCUUGGCCAUUUCUGCCUUAUAUCAGCCCAAUACUGUUUUUAUUAAAUUUCUGUUUUUUUUUUUUUUAAUUAAACUGAUUAUUUUGUAACUUCAUAUAUAAGUAAAAUUUUCUUUCGGCAAUGUGCCCCCUAUUACUCAACCUCCCUCCUGCUACAUAUGUGCUUCCCCAAACCCCCUUCUAUUUUCCUGUUUAGUUUUAUGUGUAUGAGCCGUAUGAGUAUUCUGUUUGCAUGUGUCUGAGAGCACUGUCUGUGUAUCUAGUACCCACAGAGACCAGAAGGGGGUGCUGGACCACAUGGCCAAGGAGCUAGAGGUUAUUAUGUGCUACUAUGCUAUUAGAUGCUGGGAACUGAACCUGAGCCAUCUCUCCUUCCUCUCCUUCCUCCUCCUCCUCCUCUUCUUCUUCCUUCAUCUUCCUCCUUCUUAAUGCCUUUUUAUUUGUGUGUGUGAGUGUGUGCGCGUGCCGCACUGCAUUUGGUUAGAACUGCCUGUAUGAGCAUGGGCGUGAUGUACCAGUAGCCAUAUCACUGAUGAAGACUUCCCAGACCCUUACAACCUUUAAUUCUCUGUAAGUUGCUGAACGCUAUGGCACCAGCCCCUGUCCCCUGUUCAUACCACCCCCCCCCCCACACACACACACACCUACGCUUUGCUCUGCACAGCUUUGUACAGCAUGGUGUUUUCCAAGAACAGGAAUGCCAGUUAGUAGAAAGAGAGGCUAUGUUCUGCGAUCUAGUCUCCAGUUCCUCCCCGAUGGCUGCAAUGGCUGCAAGGAUUUACUUUCAAGUGCGAAGCCGAUUUAUACACUCGCUCCUGGAAGCUGUUCUGCCUCCUACUGGAGCCCUGAGGUACUGGACAGUUCUGACUUUGAUAGACUCUCUGCAACAUUAAAACGUUUCCGGAUGUGCAAUAGCCAAAAAUUAAUUCAAAAUCGAACGCAUACCGAAUCGGAGGUAUUUAUGGGAGCACCCAUCUGUGCGGGAUCACACAGCUUCACUGCAGCCUUAGCCGUGCACGCGCAGGAAGCAGUUUGUACUGCUCAGGCUGUCGUAACACCCGAUGCCCAAGAACAAUGUCUGAAACAACACAGGUCACAUUAAGGCCACUGUAUGCGAUGAACUGCAGUGUUUUGGUUGUAUUUUCCUGGCUGGUAUUUAUGUCAACUUGACACAAGUUAGUGGCCUGAGAGGUGGGAGUCUCAAUUGAGAAACUGCUUCCAUAAGACUGGGCUGUAGCUAGGUAAGAUUAUAGGUCUUUUUCUUAUUUAGUGAACCAUGUGGAAGGGCCCACCCCAAAGUAAGUGGUGGCACCCCCUGGGCAGUGUUCCUCCCGAGUUGUUUGAAAGCAGGCUGGGCAAGCCAGUAGGCGGCCCUCCUCCACAGCUUCUGCAUCAGUUCGUGGCUCUGUCUGUUUCUGCUUUGAUUGCCCUGACUUUUGAGGGUGAACAAUGAGAUGGAAUUAUAGCUAAAAACAAACCCUCUUCUCCCCAAGUAGCUUUUGGUCCUCCUGUUUCAUCACAGAAAAAAACAACUCUAACUAACAGUAUUUUAAUUCUUAAAUACUGUAUCACUCCUCAACAUGUAUCAAAUUAGCGUGUCUCUGGAUUGCCUUGAGUCCUGGGAUCAGAGGAAAGCCACCCUGCUCACUCAGCAUUGCCAGGGUGCUGGGGGUCCAGACUCUGAUCCUUAAUGCCUGUGUGACAAGUCUUUACCCAUUAGGCCAUUUCUCCAGCCCCCAAGAUUUAAUUCUUAGGUAAAAAUAAAUAGCACACCCACCCAUCACUAGUAUGCAAAUUUUCUUUCCUUAACAAAUAGCAAAAUAAUAUUUAUACCAAAGAAUUGUUUCAAAAUAAGUUUUUUUAUGAGUUAUUAGUAAAUAUCUGUGUACCUACUUUAUAUACUUAUAGCUCCCUGGGUUAUAAAAAUCUUUUAGGGUGAUGCAAAGGAGUUACAUUGGAAAAAAUUUAAGAAACUCUUCUAGAAAGUAUAGAAGAAAACACCAGUGGGUGAAUAAUCCAUGUGUAUGUAUUUACCAUGCUUAAAAUAUUUGCAUCCUGUUCCCUGUUCCCAACACAGUGCUGGCCACUUAGAGACACACAGUGUAGAGCCAGAUAAAAAUAAAUGCAAAAUAUUAAAAAUGAAGCAAGAGAAUGUGUGUACACAUAUACAUAGAAUGAAUACAUUCCCAGAUACGGAUGCCCGAACUCAAAUGCUAACCAAGGAGAAUCUUGGUAAUGAGGAGAGACGGUGGGAGACUCUUCAGCUCAAAAGGAAUCAGGGUAAAGACGCAGACAAGGAAAGUCAGGCGCUACAGCCAGAGUCCUGGGUUCAAACACCAGCACUGCUGCUUCCUGUACAUUGUGAACAAAUCAUUUAAACUCUGAGUUUCAAUCUCCCCAAUGUAAACAUGAGACUGCUCCCUGCUAAGAUCCUGACCUCAAGAUGGAGAUUGGCCCAGUGGUAAGAGGAUCACAUAUUCUGCCCAAUAUAUACACAGCUUUACCUUAUAUUUGGAAAGUCAGACUGCAGUGCCAUCCCAAAGCUCAGACGAUCUUAAUUAUCUGGGGACUAUGCAUCAGAUGAGCAAGGAAUGAGCACGUAUCCAUGAUCCCAGCUCCACGUGUCCACGAUCCCAGCUCCAUGUAUGUGUUCAUGAUCCCAGUUCCACGUGCCAUGAUCCCAGACCUACUCGUCAGGAAAUCAGAGCCAAGCUGGGCAGCCAAGCCAGAGAAGUGAGAAAGGUCUACGGCCUGAUUUCAAAUCCUUCCACCCUGUGAGAUACCUUAACAAGAGUUUAUCAAAAAUAUGUUUCCUAGACCUGAGGCAUUGGUCUCACCCAGGAAUGUUUGGUAGGACAAAUUCUGGGGGCUCUGAGGCACACUUCCUAAGUCAGGAACUCCGAGGACAACUGGGCUGUCAUAAUUCUGCUCAGGAGGCAGAGCCUUACCCCAACAUCUGUACUCAGACAGAGUUUAGAAAAGGUCUCCUUUAAUUAAAGAAUCCUAGGGUCCUUCAGGCCCUGCUGGGCCACAGUUCACACCAUCCUCUGGUGUCACACCAUCAGAUGCGGAUGAUCCAGCAACUGAGCAUUGCUUCAGUCCCCUGGGGGUACCGACCAGUUCCCAAUCCAGAAAACAUCCCAAGCACGCCUAUCAAUGGAUGUGUAACUGAUGGAUGGACAGCAGCAGAGGCUAUAAUCCUCAGAAAAUAAACCAGCGCAGUUGAGGGUGGAAACAAGGCCCAUGGUGGGCAGACUGGGGAGAAACACUUCCCUUCAAAUAUGUAGGGCUUUUUCCUUGUUGUCAUGGUAUCUGCUUGGUCUCAGAAGUUGUAGCUACAUUCUCAAACAGCGACUAUUCCUGGUGACCACUUCCCUUCCCAACCUCAUCCCUACAUCAUCUUAGAUGGCACAGGGUUUUUUUUUUUGUUUGUUUGUUUUUUAUUUUUUUAAGAUUCAUUUUAUAUCUUUAACAACUAUGAGCACGCAUGGAUUUGUGAGUGCAGGUGACUGUGGAGGUCAGAAGAGGGCGGUAGAGUGCAGUCCCUGGAGCUGGAGUUACGGGUGAGUGGAUGUGAGUGGAUGUGAGUGGCCCCACAUGGGUGCUAGGAACCAAACUUGUGCCCUCUGUGAGAGCAGUGAAGGUCUUAGUCUCUGAGUCACCUCUUAAGCCCCAUAGAGUGUGAUAUUCCAUUAUGAUAUCUUGGCCUCUUCAGGUUCUUCCUUCUCAGGAACUUCUUUACAUGGCUAUCUGAUUGGAAGGAAGAAAAAGACAGGAAGAAAAACAAUCCAGACAAACUAGUUAAGCAUGGUUAAAAAAAUAAAAGAAAGAAAUUACGGCAGAAGAUAAAAUACAGAAGGCAUGAUUAAUUAGUGGGUGUCAGGGGUCUAUAAAGUUCCUGUCUCCACUUACCAAUCCUGAAAAGAAAACCUAUAAUAAGUACAAACUGCAAUUGCCAAAGACUACAUGUGCACAUUUGUAGGUGUGUGCAUGCAUAUUCAGGCACUCCUGUGCACACGUGCAUGUGCAUGCGUGCACACAGAGGCACACACACAAGUUGAAGUUCUAUCAGAACAAAGCAUUCCUGUGAUCAUUAGGCAGAAGUUGCAGUUCCUGCCAAGUGCAACAACACUAUCCAUCAUAAUUUAUUAAAAUUUCAAUUAUUAAGAACAUAAGGCCCACCAAACAAUGUCUACAGCACAGAUUUAAUUAUUUGUGCACUAUGAAUCCACUCGAGGGCAGCCUUUCUAACUUUAUUUCCCUACAAUUCUUCAAUUUCUUGGAAAUUAAAAACAUCUUACAAUGACAAAAAUAAAUGCCUUCACAGAGACUCUGGACAGAAGUUAGCAAACAAAUAUUUACUGUGCCUAAGAGCAGAGCAUAAAGCCUCCAAGGGUCAUGCUUGUCUCUCACAUCUGUCCUAUCCUUAAAGAUGGCGUCAGCCUGUCACUCCAGAGAUUCAGGCCACCUCAGUUUUGAUGAAGAUGUUACAAUAUCACAUGUCUAGCCCUAACAAGAAUGUAUCUUCAAAGACCCCUGCCCCACCAACUCUUCCUCAUUUAAUAGGAAUCCAAUGGGAAAUUCCAAGACUUGCCAAGAUCAGACAGCUCUCUUGGUCUAGUAAGAGCUAGCACUUUCCUACCUAGAUGCUCAACCAACGUGCUUUCCUCUGUUCUGCUCUGUCUGUGAGGUCCAGGUGGAGUCAGUCAGGUUUGAGAGUCUGUGAUCUGCCCCCAUGACAUAGCAAGGUUGUGUUCAGAGACAAAGUUCCUGUCAAUCAUCAGCCCUUAGGAGGGUCAAGCAGAAUAUAAAAGCUAUAUGGCCUCCUUAGGCCACUUUCCCCAGACUUCAAAUUUCCCUUCACUAACAAGGAAAGCAUGCCCUCCACCCAUCCACUCUUGCGAAACAGCCGAGCCUUAGAAACUAUAGCUGUUUGCUGACAGAGUUCUGGAGGAGCCUUCCAAGCCUAAAGUGCUCACAGGAGCUCUCCUAAACACCUUACUAAAUCAGGACCCAUCACUCUUUUGGCAAGCAAUGUGACGUUGAGGUCUCGCUGGCAAUAUAAUCCCCACCCUUUCACAGCUGGGCUCUGCAUAAGGAGUGGAGAGACCUUCAGAUCCGAGUCUCCUGCUACAUACUGUCCCUGUAAUGUAUGGGCCUGACUGAAAUCUGACCAUCACAGACUCACUCGCCAUUGGUGCUCUGUCCUGGUGGUAACCUCGGAUCUCUUUUGGGCACUCCUGUGAGAGUUAUUAGUUCUUAGUUUAUUCUGUCAGUUAAACACAGGAUUGCUCUAUAUGGUCCAGGCUAAACUCCAACCUGCAAUGCCUCUGUCUUCACCUCUCAAGUGCUGAGAUUAGGAUUAGAGCCCUGUGUACCAUCACAUCCUGCUAGAAACAUCACCUGAUCUUAUACACUCAUGGCGGCCCUGUCUGAAUGCUGACACUAGGUCACUCUACACAACUCAGAGAAAGAUAAAAUAUGAUUCCUGGAACUGCAAAAAAAAAAAAAAAGUCAAUAUAUACAUUAAGGUUUUCUGGCAAAGUAGGAAAGAAAUACUCAGUAUUGGGGGUUGGGAGGGAAGAGUUUAAUUCCUCAGGGAUGGCUCUCCAGAUUCAAAUCACAUGGAAUGUGGGACACCUGUAAACACUCCAGAAGCAAGAGCCUCUCCAGGGGUCUAUUUUUCUAAGCACUCUACUGCUGUAAAGCUCUCAGUGCCUCUUCAUACCUACAGAAUAAAACACACAGCUCCUAGGCAGGCAGGCUUGUGAUUUUAGCCAUCAGUUCAACACUAUUUAAAUAAGACUGCCCACAGUCCACACUGCAUUAGCCAUUGACUUAGUGUGAAAUAAAUCAGGCCACAGUUUUGUGACUUUAAAGAAUAAACCCUGACUGUGUGACCCAGAGGCUCUGGCGGAGGGAGCUGAGGGCGGUUGAAAUGAGUGGUUCCAGCUCAGGGUCUCCAGUGGGUCUCCCAUGCUGUACAGAGCUGCAGCUGUCCAAAGGUAGGCCUCUGCUUUGAAAAAAAUUUCCAAGAAUUCCCUGAGAGGAUAUGUCAGUGUCUUCAAGACAAGUAGUAAUGCCUGCUGUGAACCAGUUACAAUUAUAUAGCAUGGUUUCUGCACUGCUCUACUGGCCAAGAAGGUCAAUGCUACUCAGCAGGGGAGGACUCUAGAAAAGGGUGUGGCCACCAAGAGGUGGGGUUCUGAGCGCCCACACUGAUGCUUGUAGUUCUGCCAUGUUGCUUUCUUAGUAGGUGUGCCUCUCCUCUCCCCAGCGUGAGAGCUGUCGAGAGUGGCCUCAGUCCCUGCUGCUGCAGCACUGGAAUUUGGUUUCCUCCAAGCCUUGGUCUUAGCUCUCACAUCUGUACCACAGCUACUCUAGUCCUGACCACAAGACGUCACUGUGAGAACCAGACGAAACCCCGUAAAGGGAAGUACUUCGUACGUUGUGAUUCCGUAAACGACUUCGCAGGAAGAACACCUGUUCUCCUGCAUGAAUGUUUAUGAAGCUGUGUGGAUGGAGAGCCCAAGCUUUUCAGUCUGGUCUCUGACUACACCGGGUGUAUCCUUAUGCGUCCUUUGCAAAUUCCACAUUGGUUUACCCGGCCGGCAGUCACCCCUGAAGGGCAGACUCUUCAGAACACUGAGAAUAGACAGUAAAGAUUUGACUAAUGGAAUGCCCAGCCUUCAGAAGCAACUUCACCUUCAACUCCUCCCCAGAGAAAGAACUCCCCUGACGCCCACACUGUCCAUGAACAACACACACAGAGAAGGCUGACUUCUUUCUCAUGUACCCAAAGCACCUGAAGUUCGUGGCAGAGAAAACAGAUUAAUAUUCUCAAAAGUUCUUAAGUACUAAAAGCCAAAGGCUCUAGUCUAAAUGAUUUUUUUUUUAAACAAAUGCCUGCCUGCCCAGCUUUUUCUUCUACCUAAGAAGAAAACAUUUGUUUUCUUAGGUAACUGUGUAAAACAGUUAAAACACUCUGUGUAAAACACAGAGUAACUGUGUAAAAACAGACUUCUUAAUGUUUUAAUAUUUAUUUAUUGAGUUGGGGUUCACACAUGCUAUGGUACAUGGAGGUCAUAGGACAACAUCCAAGGCUCAGUUCUCUCUUUCUACCAUGUGGGUCUUGGGGAUCAAACUUGUGUUGCACCCUUGGCCACAGGUACUACCCACGGAGCCAUCUCAUUGGCCAAUGAUGCUAAAAUUCAAAACAUACACACACACACACACACACACACACUUGUGUGUUCUGUUAAGUCAACUACUUAAUACAGAUGCAGCUGUAAAGGACCUUUGUAGACAGUUAAAGCUAAGAAUGAGUUGAUGUUUGAGACAGUAACAUUGUCAGGGGUGUGUGUGUCCCAACACCAUUAUCUGAGUCCUAAAAGCAAAAUUACAGAUGCAUGAAGGGAGGGAAUCCAGGAGGCGGCAGCAGGAGGAGAGCGGGUGAGACUAAAAGCAUGACAGGAACUUAGCCUACCACUGCAGGCUGGGCAGAUGGAGGAGGGAAAGCAAUCCAAGGAAUGUGGGCAGCUUCGAGAGGAGAAUGACCCUGCUGACAGCUGGCAGGAAAUGAGAAUCUGGGUGUCCCAAACACAAGACACCAGAUGCCUCCUGCCCAUCUGGUGGAUCUGUAAGUAUGCCUUCACUUCACCCUAGUGAAAUCUGCCCAUUUGUACCAAGAAGUAUGAAUACAGCCAUCAGCAUAGAAUGGGAUGUGUGUCUGUGAGUGCAGGCAGGAGUAGGGGGAGAAAGAGAACAAGAGACACAGAAAGAGACAGAGACACAGAGAGAAAGAGAGAGACACUGAGAGAAAGAGAGACAGAGACACAGAGACACUGAGAGAAAGAGAGAUAGAGACACGGAGAGAAAGAGACACAGACAAAAGACACAGAGAGAAAGAGACACAGAGAGAAAGAGACACUGAGAGAAAGAGAGACAGAGAGACAGAGACACAGAGAGAAAGAGAGAUACACAGAGAGAGACAGAGAGAAAGAGAGACAGAGAGACAGAGACAGAUAGACAGACAGACAGAGAGAGACAGAAACACAGACCUACAUAUUUCUACAUCAUAAAGAAGCCUCCAUUCGAAACAAGGACUGAACUGAAGAACUGGGCAAGUACCGUCUGUCUACACAAUGGUUGGUGUAUGGCCUUCUGAGAUCAUCAUACCCAGGUGCUGGCCUCAUGCGCCCUUUCUUCCUGUCCCCACGUGUUAUCAAUGCAAAUGGCAGCUUCCCAGGUGACCAGAACCUGAUUUCUCAGUAAGCCAGGAAGGAUCACAGCUACUCAUGUGAUAAUGUUACCUUUUCUACGCUUUUAAUCGGGCCACUCCAGCCACCUCAGCCUCAGAACAUUAGUCCUGAGCUCCUGACUGGAUGAUACUCUGCUGUCUCUGCUACUAGAUUCUUAGCCUUUUAUCUUUUGCUUGCUGUACCGUUAACAAACUCACUCUCUCAAAACCGGUAUGACAGCUACCCACGGGUCAUUCUCCAGCCAUACAGAACAAUAUUCUAGUUAAGGUAGGCAGAUUUACCCCCCACAGUAUCAGUGUAUGAAUGAACUGAUAACAAUUCAACUGGACUGUUAGCAUUACAACACCUGCACAAGGUUGGGCUCUGGGGGGGCGGGGGGGUUCAUGAGGCCCCUCCCAUUGCUGAAGAAAUAUAGAUAAGUGGUGGAUGGGGGAGGGGCUAAUUACUUUCCUCAGUGGUACAGUCACUGGUCAGUUGCCCAUGCUCCAGUAAAUAACCUCCUACCAUUGCUCAGGAAAGCAACUCUUAUUAAACUCCCACCUUCACAAGUCACGAAAGUAGGAGGUAGACCUGUUGGGAAGGAGAAGGGAUCUGGUGAAAGAAGAUGGGGGGUGAAUAGUGAACAUGACUAAAAUAAGUAAAUAAUAUAUAUUUAUUAUUCCAUAUAUAUGAACAUAUAUAUGAAAUUAUCAAAGAAUAAAAUUAAAAAUAAGAGUUGAUUACAAUUCACUGCCUUUCAUUUAAAAUAAGUUAAUUUAAUAAAGAAAUAACCAUAGGGUCCAUUAAAGCCACAGAAACGAUACAGCAUGUAGACCAAUGCACUGAUCCAUGUUUUGUCCCAUUCCAAUGGUGACCACCCCGAGCAUCAGGGUGCUGUGUCCGAACAGAUGACUGCUCAGCCAAUCCUAAUGACAGACUUGGCCUCCCUAAUUGGCCCCGAGAAACAAUGGCAAAGCUGUCAUAGUGCGUAGCACAAUGCCUCAGCUCUUAGAGAUGAUCUGGCAAGUAGCUAUUCAAAUGUCUAUUAUCAACCAGAAAUGUUCUUAAAGAGUUAUUGAUGCUUCGAUUUAUUCCAAGUCAAACAUCCAAACGCACGUUGAAAGCUCUGCUCUGAGCCGUAAGUCAUUCAAACCCUCCUCUUUGUGUGAUGCACUGUUAGCGUGGAUCUAUAAAAAUGAACUACAGUUGCUUUAGGAGGGAAAGAAGGUUUCCUAUUCAAGAGAGCAGCCCCGGCAGCAGUCUCCCCACAGAGCGUUCUUGCCCUAUGAGGCGAAUCACACGUGACCUCCACUAAAAAACGUUCAGUCUCCUCUUCAAACUCUGCACACUGGGAACUACCGCCAUCUGUGCCCUAUAACUAACUCCAUCUCUCCACAUUACUUCACCUCACCCCCUUUCCCCUCCAGCCCACAUUUCCUACUCCCCCUUCAAAUACACCCUUAGAAGAUCCUCUCCACUGGGGGGGGGAUGGUCUCCUCCCUCAAAGGCCUCCCCUUCUAACCCUAGGAAUCCCACUUGUGAAGAUCCAACAUCAGGCUCUAUAGCCUCUGCCUGUGUGAAAAAGUCUUGCCUUCCCUUCUGUCAAUCUUACCAGCUAGACUCGCUGGCCCAGAGCCCCCUUGUCAUGGCCCUGGCUUUGCUCGGCAGCUGUUCUAAGACUUGUCUUGAUAAUAGGACUACAGUUACCUGAAAGCAAGGAACACAGCCAUCCUCCUGGCGCCCUGAGCUGAUGGAAUUAGCAUUUCUUCAUUGUGGACAACAGCCAGAAAGGGGCUGUAGGGCUGCCUUUUUAUUUACUUUUAUUUGGUUCCUUUUCUGGCCCAGCCACCAUCUGGUCCCAAGUGACCAUACCAAAGCCUAUCAUAAUGCCACAGCUUCAUGACAUUUUUUAAGAGCCAGCAUAAACAAACAAACAAACAAACAAGAAUCAAGAAAGAAAAGAGAACAACAUUCUCCGAGCCAGUUCAAAUGAGCAUCUGUUCUCCCAAACAAGGGCUGAGCACUGCAGCAAGCUGCCACCUCCUGUAGCCAUAAGGCCAAGUUGGAGAGUUUGUUGGAGAAGACUCAGUUUACACAGUUAUCACUGACGAACAAGAAAUGAGACCCUCGUGUGGGAUGGUAAGGUACUAAGGGACUCCCUUGGCAGCACUGAGAACUCCCUUAGGCCUGGAAUGCGGAGAGUAAGCAGGUCAAGGAGACACGGGGCCCUUUCUGACAGAGAACACAGGAAGGGACCGGAGAGGAAGCAGACAAGGCGGAGUCACACACAUCUCUGAGAGUGUCACUUGCAGUUAACCACCAGUGACCCUUACUAAGAGAAAGUCAAGCAGAUGCAAGGUCCUAAAGCUGAAUGGUCCUCCUUAAGUCUUCAUUUCCAUCUACAAAUGGAAUGAAAAUAUUCCGGACAGGUACAGCACCUGCCUUUGCCAGGCUGGAGAUGUAGCUCCAUUGGUAGAGUACUUGCCUGGAGUGCACAAAGCCCUCGGUGAGAUCCCCAGCACCCCAUAACUAGGCAGGGCCAUGUCCAUCUGUGAGCCUAAUAUUGAGGAUGUAGAGUCUGGAUGAUCACAGAUUUGAGACCAUCCACCCCAACCAAGUUCGAUUUAAAAGAUGUGAAUUUCUCCAGCCAUUCUCUUAGUUUAUAAAACAAAGCAGGCGAGACCCUCCACAGCCCAAGUGCAGUGAAGGGCAGCACAACAGAUCAACAGAUUACAGGGGACACAGGCCUCAAGGUUUGGGUUAACAUUAACCUAGAUGAAUGGGAUGUCCUGUCCUCUCUAGUGUGAAGCCACUGACAGUGCCUGGGAGUCCGAUUCAUCAGCUGUCCCCGAGCAAGCCUCUCUCCAGCUCCCCCCAGUGUCCUUGGGACCUUGUCUAACAGAGGAAGAGAGCUGGAGAGAACUCUCAUCCCCUAAAUCUAAUAAACUGCUCAACUGUUUUAUGGGAUGUGAGUACCUCUCUUCUAUUUAACAAUAAAAUGGCUUAUUGAACAAAGCAGCCAUAUUCUGCAACCUUCAGGCAUUCUAUUUGAAUCCUCCAAAUGUCUAUGGAAACUUACUCCUAAAAAAACAAAACAAAAUAAAACAAAACAAACAAACAAAGCAUUUUUUUUUUUGGAUAGGGAUUUUGGAAAGUGAUCAGGACUAGGAAGGGAAAAUAGGGCCUCUUUGAUGACAUCAGUGCCUGUGACAUGGGAGGCAGAGAGACCUGGGCGGACACAGACCUGUUCUUGUCAGGUGAUGCCCUUCUCCAUCACCUGUACUGAGAAGAGCUCUUGGGAGGCUGAGGAGAAAGAUGCUCAUGCUUUGCUCCCUCCAACUUCCCAGGCUUCUGAGGCUUGGGCAAACAAUCCUCCGCUCUUAGAAACACCCCAGUCUGUGGUGUUCAGUUAUAAGACAAGCUCUAAAUGAACAGAAUCCGAGUUAGAAGUCGUUCAACAACUAUUAUACCCCUGCUGUUGCCUCAGGCUCUGCACCCUAGUGUGUAGGGUUUUUAUUAAUCUUCACUCAGAUUUACAAAAGCAAUUUUUAAAUUCAUUUUACCAGAUGACAAAAAUAAAAACCAAUAAAAACUCUUGAGUUCUUCAAGGAUUAAAAAAGAAGAAGAAGAAGAGAUGACGGCAGGUAUGUCGAGCUCUGGACAGGAAAGUUAGGUUGUUCCAGCCAUCUUCGGAGAGGCAGGGGUGGAGCAGGGACAGGUCCUCAGGACGUCCAUCUCUGGGCAUGCCAUCCUUGACCACUGACUACACAAGGUCAGACCUGAGAAUUCCUGCCUUUGACUUUCGUACAAAAUGCCUUUAGUAAGAGAAGUUUUCUUCCUUCUCUUGUCUUUAUGAUGAGAAAAACCAGAGAGAAAUCAGCGAAAGCAAUGAACCAGAGAAAGGACAGCAUCGGUGAACUACAGAAGCCCUUGGUUUCGGAAGCACAGAGAUUCCUUUUCCAGAGUGAGGCUCCACUAUAAAAACAAUGGUUUUGAAGGCUGACUUUUUUAAAAAUCACAAAUGGAACAGUGAUCCAACUACAACCUUUCAGGCUUUUAUAAGAUGUCCUAAAGUCUAUGUAAUAUCAACUAUUCUAUGUUUUCACAAAAGGAAAAAAGUGAUGGCUACGGAAGAAAGAAAAACUAGUCAGAAAGUGCAAUGUGACGUCUGGAGAUGUCACAGGAACAAGAAGAAAAGAAAGGGUGCAGAAACUAACAGGGCUUUCAAAAGGACAGAGGGACCACAAGGAAGAGGCUCCCAGUAGCCAUGCUUGCCCCAAGUAAUAAUAUUGAUGGAUGGAUGGAUGGAUGGAUGGGUGAAUGGAUUAUAGCAUAUUGAAUAGGUAAGAACUCAUGCAUACAGGAGGCAGGCAUAAAACAAAACAAAAAGCAAACUAAACAAAACAAACAACAACAAAAACCAAAACAAUACAACGAAGGACAGAGGCAAUCUUUUUAUCUCAGUCACACUCCCAUCUGUCCUUGCACCUCUCUGUAGCCAUGUUCCUUCCUCACUGACUUCCUGCUUUGAACUGGACUUUUCCAUACUGAAACAGCAAGCCGGACAUUACUCUCCACACACCCAGGACUUUCUGAGGCUAUGAGCUGGAGAAAGUAGAUAAAGAGGAAGGAGAACAAUUUACUUUAUUUUGGGAAUUUCAAGUAAGGGGGCAAGAGACUCUGCUAAUUUUACACCUGCUUUGUGGCAUGUUUUGUUUGCAGUCUAUAUUCUCUCCAUGUUGGCAAAAUUCAAUAUAUCGCAGAGUUGUAAUUAAACAAGGAAGGGGGAAAUGGAGAAGAGGAGAAGAGGAAAGGUGGAACAGAUGGAUGGACAGACAGACAGGUGUACAUAUUCCACAGAGGCAGAGCUAGAAAAAAGUCAGAAGGUGCUCCUGGCAGUGAAGAUGAAGGCAGGAGGCCAAAGAACAACGGGAACACGCCCAGCGUCUAAAGGGCAGUCACAACACCACUGGCCCUAGGGACAUGACCUGAAGAUGCCCUCUUUGCCCCUGAAGCUACAGUCUCCCAACUAAAGGAGUUGGUCUCAAUGACCUUCAUCCUCUAUGACCUCUCACCACCUUCUUGAGCCCCAAGUUCUUGUUCCUCACUGGGUUGCUAUGAGAACCAAUAGGCUUAUCUCUACUGAAAGUAUCUGAAGCUGUGCAUAGUAUGUAACAAGCAUGAUCAAAUGCUAGCUGUCAUCAUUAUGGAAACAAGUAUGAUUGUUAUAACCUCUAUUACCUGUCCCAGAGUGUCUCCAGGAGCGAACAGUUGCUCAGGAACGAGCCUCCAUCUUCCAGCAAAGAUCACUUCCACCUGCCGUUCUUGUUUGUCUGUAUUGUGGUCUUGACAGUUCAUGUCAUUUCUUAUUUCAGGGGAGAUGCCUGCCUGCAGAUCGUGCGCACACGUGCACACACACACACACACACACACACACACACACACACACGCGCGCGCGCGCACACAAACAUACCAAGAAGCUACUCCUUGGGUGUAAGAGAAGUGAGACAUCUAUUAGACUGCUUUCUAUUCCCACAGAAAACUAGGAACAUAUGCAAAAAGAGAGUCAAGAAUAAAGAGGAACUCCUCAGGACCACACCACUUCAGCAAGGCAAGGUGGCAUACAGUCAAUCCAGAUGGGCAAAGCUGCAGCUGGGUCACGUGGCUCCCGACGCUCUUUGCUUUGCUUUUUACCUAGAUAAGAUGUUCCUGAUCAGGAUUUUUUUUUUCUUCCAGGAAAGGGUUGACAGUUGAUGUAAUAGCCUUACUCUCUAUGACGAUAAGGUAAGCUGAGGUAUACCGGUAACACAGGCUUCUGGCUAAAGGGGAACUUGGCUCUUCUCUGUUCCCAAGAACCACAGGAAGAGGUUUGCCUGUGGCAGCUAUGGAGGGUCUCAGCUCCAUUCUCACCAGGAGCAGGGUGCUCCAGGACUGAUGGUUGUAUAGUCCUUUUUAUAUUCUCCCAGGAUUUCUAAAGAUAAACUAUAUAUUCCUUUUACAUUUCAUGCAGAAAGGAGCAAUACCAUCAACACAGAAAAAACCCCACUUUUAUGUCUCCCCAAAAUUACCCAACUGUCCUUUCCCUUUCAAAGUCUCUCAGCAAGCUGCAUAAGAUGUACUUUAAGAAAAUAUGCAUUACUUUACAUAAAAAUCCCUUGAAAUAGCAUUGUCUUUGGGUUGCCCUCUGGGCUAGGACUAUCUAAAAAUAAAACACUACACUUCAGAGACAUGAAAGGAAAUAGAAAUCUCCCAAUGAAUGUGAUGUCACAGGAGAAUUGAGCAACACAGAAUUAUGGGAUACACUUCUUUCACAAAUGUCCGGUUUUUUGUUUGUUUGUUUUGUUUUGUUUUUGUUUUUUUGUUUUGUUUUGUUUUGUUUUAGCUCCAGCUCCCCAGUCUGGUAGGUCUGGGGACAGUGUUGAUCCAGGGAAGCUGGUCAGUACCAUCUGAAGGAUAGACAAGGACAGAAACAUCUAGAAAGGGAUAAAAGGACAUGCUGCAAGUCCACUUCUGUUUUAAGUCCAUGUGACUACAUGGACAACCCUCUCUGUAGAUGUGGUCAUUCAUCAGAUCUACUGAACCUGUAUGUGAGAUGCUGGAACGGUCUUGGGGGAUGAGCAGAGAGCAUCCCUAGUAUCCUCACAGUUUGUCACAAUACAGGUACAUACAGGGGUCACACCGGAAAUGGCCCAGCCAGAGUGAAGAGUAUAGCAGGGCAAGAAGAGAGUUUCCCAAGUCUGAUCUCACCAGAGGCAAAGUGUCAGAGCUGGAAAACACAGACCCAGGGGAAGCAGCCUAUGUUCACUGGCCCAGGGUCCCUGAGUACAUUAUUAAACCUCCAUCCUUUUUCUCAUUGGAAAGCUGAUACGUUUAAAGACACUGUUUCUAUGGUUAGUCUGUAGUAGAUGAGAACCUUAUGUACAAUGCUUAGAAUGGCGUUUGGCAAAUAAGCCACCACAUGAUAUAUUAUCCAAACUGGGACACUCUUGAGCAUAAAAGAGAAGGGUAUAAAUAAUUACCCUGGGACAAGAGGAGAGAAUCAGGACUGUACGAGGCAAAUCAGGACAUUCAGUCACUCUGUGUGCGCACACUCACAGUGACUGAAGGAUGCCAGCCAAGCAAAGGAGCAAGUGGUACAGGAGGAAAUGAUAAAGGUAAUGACACAGGGGCAGGAGACCAUGACAAGCCCAAGGAGUUCAUGGUCAUUUGUCGCUCACUCCCACGGGAUAGUCCCCCUUUCCCUUUAGACCACUCUGGCAAUGCUGUGGUCAUCACCGUGGACAUUCCAAUAGUAUUUGCCUCUUCCAUUAGACCAUCAGCACAGACAACCCUGGUUUCCCUUGGUGAAUUAGGAACACAAAGUAGGUGCUCAGCAUGCUGGGAGAAUGAAGACCACGGCAGCCAUGAAGGGUGUUUCCUAGAGACAAUUUUCCCCAUGCUGUCAGGAGAUAAGAACCUUACUAUACCAUUUCCCCUGCAAAAAUUCCCAUGUUGAAGGCCUGACAUGCUAUUUGGAAAUGGGCCUUCUGGGCCUUCAUUAGAGUUAUCAUGGGAUAACAUCAAUGCCAAGGUAAGAGGAGACAUCAGGGAACCUGGAGAGAAUUAUAUAAAGCUUGCCUUCUCUGAGGUUCAUAUCAAAUGCCCCUAGGACACAGCCUUAGAAAGAGAUACGGCAAAGGUGCAGGUGUAUAGCUUAGUUUUAGCAUCCUACCUGCAUAAAUUAAUUAUUUAAGAGCACCUAGAAAAGAUACCCACAAACCAAAGAUUUUUAAAUUAACAUAUGGGCUUUACCUGCUCGUUGCUACUUAAUGUAUCCCUACUCUAAAACACUGAAUGUGUGAGAAUGGCUGGGGCAAAGGCAGCCAGCAGUGGACUGUUAUUCUAUGGGCGACUUUAGGGGCUCUCGGCAAUCACAUGAAGAGUCUACAACCUGGGAUAUCCUCAGGAGCUUCUUCUUAGUGUGUGGAGCAAGCUCUGCAUCUCACCUUAGUAUACAGGAUUCUAUUUUUGUGAACUAAAUUUCUCCAAGUAGAAGGCUACUGAUAAACACAGGGGCUGCUUCUCUGGGCAGCUUGCAGCCAUGGCCUGAGCAAGAAAGGCAUCUCAAUGGAACUUGGGUCUCACUGACAUCCCUUGGGCUGAGGACUCAGAGGUACCACUUCAUCUCUAGAAGGCCCGUGGCCAACAUGCCCACUGUGGGCCAGCACCCAGACCCGAUUUGAAGCUUCAUGUCUGCCUGUCAGUGUUCCUUAGAAUGAUCUCAUUGUGGGGUCCUUCUUGCCUUCAAGGAGCUAUUAGGUCUUACCUAUAAUUCCUUAUAUGUGACAAAAUGUUUGUGCCCCUUCCAUCCCAAAACUUGAAUGUUCAAAACCUAACCUCUAGUGUCAGGUACUCAAAGUUGAGGCUACUGGCAACUGCUUGGGACAUUAGUGCCAUCAUGAAAGGGACACUAGUAGACUCCCUUCCCUACUUCUAUGGGGUAAAGAACGCAAUGACAUAUAGCCACCCAGCGAGCCAAGGAAUCAAAAUUUGUUAGUGCUUUGAUCUCAGAGUACUCCCACACUGUGGAAAGAAAACCCCUGCUAUUCAUAAACCGCCCAGCCUCUGGUAGUCUAUCAUAGCAGCCCCAAAGACCUGUGGUAGCUACAAAGUGAAACCAACAGGAAAACAUCCAUCCCCAGGAGGCACUGAGAGACUCGCAAAAGUUUGCCUCUGCAUGGUCCUUCCCAUGCAUGGAGCCCCAGAUGAAUGCAGACCACACUGUGCAUACAAGCCAUUUUGCCUGGGUGGACUUGAAGAUCUUCUUUAGAGAUGGGGAAAAAUGCAUGUGGAAAGGAGAGGCUUAGUGAGACAGAGUCUGCAAGCUUCCGUCUUCCCCUUUGAAAGCACCAGUCCUGUCCUUCAUCCUCCUGCGCAUCCCGUCCUCCUCAUUAGCUACACAACUAGGUUUUGGCAUUCGGGUGUGUUUCCUUUCCUCAUUUUAACUGCUGACUGUUUUUGGAAAAAAAAAAGUGUCUUAAAAUAUUUUACUUAAUCCCAGCACUCGGGAGGCAGAGGCAGGUGGGUUUCUGAGUUCGAGGCCAGCCUGGUCUACAGAGUGAGUUCCAGGACAGCCAGGGCUACAUAGAGAAACUCUGUCUCGAAAAACAAAAAACAAAAAAGCAAAAGAAAAAUUUACUGUCAGUUUUUUUUCUUUUGCAGAGAAUUAUAUAAAGGUUUCUGUAUCUAUUCUAUUUGUUGGAUAAAUCACUCAAAAAAAAAGAAAAAUGAUUAGACUCUACUUCUCCGAAAAGAACCAGGAAUGAUAUAUGUGUAUAUGAGAAAGACGUCACACAUGGAAAUGAAAAUUAUCUUAUUUCAUGCAAUUAUUCUGAUGGCACAGACCAUUUCUGAUCUUAAAACUCUUCCAGACAAACAUAUCUCAAAUUUCUAAUUAUUUCCUGCUAAGCUGUAUUUAUGUUUCUGUGGAUUAAUCACUUAAAUUAUUAAGUCCCCAUGAAUAAUUAAAAUUAAAAAGCAUUAACAAGUCAGUCUGCAGCUCUGAUGUUCCCUGGCCUCCCGAGCUUGGCUCUAACUCUAUCUGACUUGGCCACUCAGUUCGGCUCCACAGCGCAGGCGCAGGCGCGCCUGAGUGCUGGCGGGGAUCAGGCUUCACCUUCCCUGGGGUUGGAAGGACCUUGCUGUUCUAAGACUUGAGAAUUAGAGAGGAAGGCGGGAUGAGUAUAAAGAGCGUGGCUCUCCGAAGGAGCUGAGAAGGGUGGUUUCCUAUGGUUCCAAAGAAAGCGAGUUGGGCAGAAGAAUACAGAAGGAGGGCGAAAACUGAAACCUGUGACCCACAUAGCAUAGCAUUCACUGCUUUCACUCAAUGAUACACCAACAUGAUGGCGGAUGAGGCUGCAGUCCCAGAUGAAGAGCUACAGGCAACAAGCGGCCGACGAGAGGGGAGAAUCAGCCUUCUCUAGGGCUGAGCUCUCCCAUUGGUUAACCAAAAUCAAGUAGUCAGCUCGAAGAGGGUCUCCAUACACGUGACAUCACAAGGACUCCGCAGUUACAGCACGUGUAUACAUGUAACAAAAAUAAAGACCAGGAGAAAAGAAGAAUGAGGAGGUGGGGAGGGUGGAGGAGGGGAGAAGCUAUAGAUGGAAUAAAGUAGGGGUGAAUAUGAAUAAAGUCCACUGCAUGGCAGUCUCAAAGAAUUAAUACAAUAUUGCAUUAAAAUAUGUUGUUUAAAUUUUCAGUUAUAUGUCUUCAUGUAGGUCUGUAUAUGGGUCUUUGAACGACUGCAGAUACCCAAGGCAGUCAGAGGAGAGUGUCGGAUACCCUGUAUUGCAGAUACCCAAGGCAGUCAGAGGAGAGUGUCGGAUACCCUGUAUUGCAGGUGCUUGUGAACCGAGUCGCUUGGGUGCUGGGAAAUGAACUCACGGGUGUCCUCAGAAGGACAUGCUUUUAAUUGCUGAGCCAUCGCUCCAGUCUGGGUCCAUCACCACUUCUAACCAAAGUUCAGUUCCUAACACCACCUUGCUACAGAUUUCUGCUCGGGGAGCUUUCUCAAAGGCUGAGGUUAGCUUCUACAGAAUUCAGUGCUAAGGGCACAAGUCACGAGGAGCCAGCUGGCAGCUCUCGGGGGUUGGCUGCUGGGAUGGGAACGCUGCCAGAGGACACAAACCCCUGUGCCCUCUGAGUGCACCAGAGCUCGUUCUGCCCAGGGAACCUGGACCUUCGCCCUGUAGAAAGGGUGCAGUUUGCACAGCCUCUCCAACCUUUGAUAGAUUUGCUACCACUCUGCUAAGGCCCUCUCCUGGUUCACCCUGAAGACUCAUCUCAUUAGCCUCUGCCAAAAGGAGAUGGCCAGCCUAGAACCCAGGUGGCUGUCUCUGCUGUCCCCAUGCUGUGCGGGAGCGUCCAGUCUGAUGCAAUCCAUCUGUCCAUCUUUGAUCGUGUUGCCUAAGCUUUGAAGGGCUGACUCGGAAACACUGUCCAGGCUCAUCAGUGCUUCCCCCUGUUGCCCACUAGUGUUUUCCCUAUCUCAAGUCUUAACAUUAAACCCUUCCAUGUAUUCUGAAAUUUCAUAUGUAGUAUAAGAGUAUGACUUUAUUCUCUUACAGAUGGAUAUGAUAUCUGUAACAUGGAUGGAUAUGAUAUUCCCUAACAUCAUUUACUUAAAGGUCUACAGUGUAUUGUCAUCUU